rnacentral:rRNA from 1 species
GGGUGCGUAACACGUGGGUAACCUGCCCCUAUCACUGGGAUAACACACUGAAAAGUGUGCUAAUACCAGAUAAUAUAAGCUUUUGGCAUCAUUAGCUUAUCAAAGAAUUUCGGAUAGGGAUGGGCCCGCGUCUGAUUAGCUAGUUGGUGAGGUAACGGCUCACCAAGGCAACGAUCAGUAGCCGACCUGAGAGGGUGAUCGGCCACACUGGAACUGAGACACGGUCCAGACUCCUACGGGAGGCAGCAGUGGGGAAUAUUGCACAAUGGGCGAAAGCCUGAUGCAGCAACGCCGCGUGAGCGAUGAAGGCCUUCGGGUCGUAAAGCUCUGUCCUAUGGGAAGAUAAUGACGGUACCAUAGGAGGAAGCCCCGGCUAACUACGUGCCAGCAGCCGCGGUAAUACGUAGGGGGCAAGCGUUAUCCGGAAUUACUGGGCGUAAAGGGUGCGUAGGCGGUUUAUCAAGUCAGGGGUGAAAGGCUACGGCUCAACCGUAGUGAGCCUCUGAAACUGGUGAACUUGAGUGUAGGAGAGGAAAGUGGAAUUCCCAGUGUAGCGGUGAAAUGCGUAGAUAUUGGGAGGAACACCAGUGGCGAAGGCGACUUUCUGGACUACAACUGACGCUGAGGCACGAAAGCGUGGGGAGCAAACA